rnacentral:rRNA from 1 species
GAUGAACGCUGGCGGCGUGCCUAAUACAUGCAAGUCGAGCGAACGGACGAGAAGCUUGCUUCUCUGAUGUUAGCGGCGGACGGGUGAGUAACACGUGGAUAACCUACCUGUAAGACUGGGAUAACUUCGGGAAACCGUAGCUAAUACCAGAUAAUAUUUUGAACCGCAUGGUUCAAAAGUGAAAGACGGUCUUGCUGUCACUUAUAGAUGGAUCCGCGCUGCAUUAGCUAGUUGGUAAGGUAACGGCUUACCAAGGCAACGAUGCAUAGCCGACCUGAGAGGGUGAUCGGCCACACUGGAACUGAGACACGGUCCAGACUCCUACGGGAGGCAGCAGUAGGGAAUCUUCCGCAAUGGGCGAAAGCCUGACGGAGCAACGCCGCGUGAGUGAUGAAGGUCUUCGGAUCGUAAAACUCUGUUAUUAGGGAAGAACAUAUGUGUAAGUAACUGUGCACAUCUUGACGGUACCUAAUCAGAAAGCCACGGCUAACUACGUG